rnacentral:piRNA from 1 species
AUUCAUUUUGUUUCUUUGGACCAUG